GGGUCAGAGAUGUGUUCAGGUGUCCCGUAGUGUGUACCUGGGUCAGAGAUGUGUUCAGGUGUCCCGUAGUGUGUACCUGGGUCAGAGAUUUGUUCAGGUGUCCCGUAGUGUGUACCUGGGUCAGAGAUGUGUUCAGGUGUCCCGUAGUGUGUACCUGGGUCAGAGAUGUGUUCAGGUGUCCCGUAGUGUGUACCUGGGUCAGAGAUGUGUUCAGGUGUCCUGUAC